rnacentral:rRNA from 1 species
GCCCAGACUCCUACGGGAGGCAGCAGUCGAGAAUCAUUCACAAUGGGGGAAACCCUGAUGCAGCGACGCCGCGUGGGUGAAGGAGCGUUUCGGCGCGUAAAGCCCUAUCGGCAGGGAAGAAGGAGGACGGUACCUGACUAAGAAGCCCCGGCUAACUACGUGCCAGCAGCCGCGGUAAUACGUAGGGGGCAAGCGUUAUCCGGAUUUACUGGGUGUAAAGGGGGCGCAGACGGCAGCGCAAGCCAGGAGUGAAAGCCCGGGGCCCAACCCCGGGACUGCUCUUGGAACUGCGCGGCUGGAGUGCAGGAGGGGCAGGCGGAAUUCCUGGUGUAGCGGUGAAAUGCGUAGAUAUCAGGAGGAACACCGGUGGCGAAGGCGGCCUGCUGGACUGCGACUGACGUUGAGGCCCGAAAGCGUGGGGAGCAAACAGGAUUAGAUACCCUGGUAAC